CCUACGGGAGGCAGCAGUGAGGAAUAUUGGUCAAUGGGCGAGAGCCUGAACCAGCCAAGUAGCGUGAAGGAUGACUGCCCUAUGGGUUGUAAACUUCUUUUAUAUGGGAAUAAAGUGAAGUAUGUAUACUUUUUUGUAUGUACUUUAUGAAUAAGGAUCGGCUAACUCCGUGCCAGCAGCCGCGGUAAUACGGAGGAUCCGAGCGUUAUCCGGAUUUAUUGGGUUUAAAGGGAGCGUAGGAGGGUUGUUAAGUCAGUUGUGAAAGUUUGCGGCUCAACCGUAAAAUUGCAAUUGAUACUGGGUGUCUUGAGUGCAGUAGAGGUAGGCGGAAUUCGUGGUGUAGCGGUGAAAUGCUUAGAUAUCACGAAGAACUCCGAUUGCGAAGGCAGCUUACUAGACUGUAACUGACGUUGAUGCUCGAAAGUGUGGGUAUCAAACAGGAUUAGAUACCCGUGUAGUC
rnacentral:rRNA from 1 species